rnacentral:pre_miRNA from 1 species
AACUCCAAACACUCAAAACUCAUUGUUGAAUGGAAUGAGAUAUUUUGAGUGUUUGGAAUUGA